AUUGAACGCUGGCGGCAGGCCUAACACAUGCAAGUCGAACGAGUGGCGGACGGGUGAGUAAUGUCUGGGAAACUGCCCGAUGGAGGGGGAUAACUACUGGAAACGGUAGCUAAUACCGCAUACCAUCGGAUGUGCCCAGAGGGGAUUAGAUAGUAGGUGGGGUAACGGCGCACCUAGGCUACGAUCCCUAGCUGGUCUGAGAGGAUGACCAGCCACACUGGAACUGAGACACGGUACAGACUCCGACGGGAGGCAGAAGUGGGGAAUAUUGCACAAUGGGCGAAAGCCUGAUGCAGCCAUGCCGCGUUGAUGAAGAAGGCCUUCGGGUGGUAAAGUACUUUCAGCGAGGAGGCGUUACCCGCAGAAGAAGCGCCGGCUAACUCCGUGCCAGCAGCCGCGGUAAUUC
rnacentral:rRNA from 1 species